GUGCAGCAGGCGAGAAACCUCCCCAAUGCCCGAAAGGGUGAGGGGGUCACCCCGAGUGCCACCCUCGUGGUGGCUUUUGCGGGGUCUAAAAAGCCCCGCGAAUAAGGGGAGGGCAAGACGGGUGUCAGCCGCCGCGGUAAUACCCGCUCCCCGAGUGGUGGGGACUAUUACUGGGCUUAAAGCGUCCGUAGCCGGCUGGGUGUGUCCCCCGUUAAAUCCACGGGCCUAACCCGUGGGCUGCGGGGGAUACUACCUGGCUUGGGGGUGGGAGAGGGCGGCGGUAUUCCCGGGGUAGGGGUAAAAUCCUCUGAUCCCGGGGAGGACCACCAGUGGCGAAGGCGGCCGCCCAGAACACGCCCGACGGUGAGGGACGAAAGCUGGGGGAGCAAACGGGAUUAGAUACCCCUGUAGU
rnacentral:rRNA from 1 species